UACGUAGGGGGCAAGCGUUGUCCGGAAUCAUUGGGCGUAAAGCGCGCGUAGGCGGCCCGGUAAGUCCGUUGUGAAAGUCAAAGGCUCAACCUUUGAAAGCCGAUGGAUACUGUGAGGCUAGAGUUCGGAAGAGGCGAGUGGAAUUCCUGGUGUAGCGGUGGAAUGCGCAGAUAUCAGGAGGAACACCAAUAGCGAAGGCAGCUCGCUGGGACGAUACUGACGCUAAGGCGCGAAAGCGUGGGGAGCGAACAGG
rnacentral:rRNA from 1 species